UUUAAGGUCUAAUCUGCCCUAUGAGGAAUUAAAUGGCCGCGGUAUUUUGACCGUGCAAAGGUAGCAUAAUAAUUAGUUUUUUAAUUGGAAGCUGGAAUGAAUGAUUGGACGAGAAAAUUUCUGUCUCAAUUUAAUUUAGUUAGAAUUUUAUUUUUAAGUAAAAAAGCUUAAAUUUUUUUAAAAGACGAGAAGACCCUAUAGAGUUUUAUAUAUUUAUUUAUAUUUAAAUUUUUAGAAUUUUAUUUUUGUUAUAUUUAUAAAUAUAUUUUGUUGGGGUGAUAGAAAAAUUGAAUUAACUUUUUUUAUAUUUUUACAUUAAUUUAUGGUUAAAUGAUCCAUUUUUUAUGAUUAUAAGUUUAAAUUACCUUAGGGAUAACAGCGUAAUUUUUUUUUAGAGUUCUUAUCGAAAAAAUAGAUUGCGACCUCGAUGUUGGAUUAAAAUAAACAUUUGGUGUAGGGGCUAAAUAGUUAGGUCUGUUCGACCUUUAAAAUUUUACA
rnacentral:rRNA from 1 species